AGGGUUUGAUCCUGGCUCAGGAUGAACGCUGGCGGCGUGCCUAACACAUGCAAGUCGAGCGAGGUGGCCUAAGGUCUCGCCUUCGGGCGAGGCUAUGGCGCCUAGCGGCGGACGGGUGAGUAACACGUGGGUGACCUGCCCCGAAGAGGGGGAUAACCGCUGGAAACGGCGGCUAAUACCCCAUGUGCUCCGCGGUGUUAGAGGACCACGGAGUAAAGAGUGCGGUGGCCGAAAGGCGCCGUGCCGCUUCGGGAGGGGCCCGCGGCCUAUCAGGUAGUUGGUAGGGUAACGGCCUACCAAGCCUAUGACGGGUAGCCGGCCUGAGAGGGUGACCGGCCACACGGGCACUGAGACACGGGCCCGACUCCUACGGGAGGCAGCAGUGAGGGAUCUUGCGCAAUGGGCGAAAGCCUGACGCAGCGACGCCGCGUGGGGGAUGAAGGCCUUCGGGUCGUAAACCCCUUUUCUGGGGGACGAGGAAGGACGGUACCCCAGGAAUAAGCCCCGGCUAACUACGUGCCAGCAGCCGCGGUAAAACGUAGGGGGCAAGCGUUAUCCGGAUUCACUGGGCGUAAAGCGCGCGCAGGCGGCUUCCUAAGUCGGGCGUGAAAUCUCCCGGCUCAACCGGGAGGGGCCGCUCGAUACUGGGAGGCUUGAGGGCAGGAGAGGGAGGUGGAAUUCCCGGUGUAGCGGUGGAAUGCGUAGAUAUCGGGAGGAACACCAGUGGCGAAGGCGGCCUCCUGGCCUGUCCCUGACGCUCAGGCGCGAAAGCUAGGGGAGCGAACGGGAUUAGAUACCCCGGUAGUCCUAGCCGUAAACGAUGGGCGCUAGGUGUUGGUGGGGUUAAGCCCAUCAGUGCCGAAGCUAACGCGUUAAGCGCCCCGCCUGGGGACUACGGCCGCAAGGCUAAAACUCAAAGGAAUUGACGGGGGCCCGCACAAGCGGCGGAGCGUGUGGUUUAAUUCGAUGCUAACCGAAGAACCUUACCAGGGCUUGACAUGCCGGUGGUAGCGACCCGAAAGGGGAGCGACCCGCAAGGGAGCCGGCACAGGUGCUGCAUGGCUGUCGUCAGCUCGUGCCGUGAGGUGUUAGGUUAAGUCCUGUAACGAGCGCAACCCUCGCCGCUAGUUACACGUGUCUAGCGGGACUGCCGGCGCAAGCCGGAGGAAGGUGGGGAUGACGUCAAGUCAGCAUGGCCCUUAUGCCCUGGGCUACACACACGCUACAAUGGCCGGGACAAUGGGUUGCCAAGCCGCGAGGCGGAGCUAAUCCCAUCAAACCCGGUCCCAGUUCGGAUUGCAGUCUGCAACCCGACUGCAUGAAGCCGGAGUCGCUAGUAACCGCCGGUCAGCCAUACGGCGGUGAAUACGUUCCCGGGCCUUGUACACACCGCCCGUCACGUCAUGGGAGCCGGCAACACCUGAAGCCGGUGAGCUAACCCCCGCAAGGGGGAGGCAGCCGUCGAAGGUGGGGCCGGUGACUGGGACGAAGUCGUAACAAGGUAGCCG
rnacentral:rRNA from 1 species